AGCAAUGUGGCCUAAUAGAAUGAGCACUGGCCUGGGAGUCAGAAGACCUGGGUUCUAAUCCCAGCUCUGCCA
rnacentral:tRNA from 1 species